UACGAAGGGUGCAAGCGUUACUCGGAAUUACUGGGCGUAAAGGGUGCGUAGGCGGGUUUUUAAGUCAGGGGUGAAAUCCUGGAGCUCAACUCCAGAACUGCCUUUGAUACUGAAGAUCUUGAGUCCGGGAGAGGUGAGUGGAACUGCGAGUGUAGAGGUGAAAUUCGUAGAUAUUCGCAAGAACACCAGUGGCGAAGGCGGCUCACUGGCCCGGUACUGACGCUGAGGCACGAAAGCGUGGGGAGCAAACAGG
rnacentral:rRNA from 1 species